rnacentral:rRNA from 1 species
UACGGAAGGCAGCAGUGGGGAAUAUUGCACAAUGGGCGCAAGCCUGAUGCAGCCAUGCCGCGUGUAUGAAGAAGGCCUUCGGGUUGUAAAGUACUUUCAGCGGGGAGGAAGGCGAUGUGGUUAAUAACCGCGUCGAUUGACGUUACCCGCAGAAGAAGCACCGGCUAACUCCGUGCCAGCAGCCGCGGUAAUACGGAGGGUGCAAGCGUUAAUCGGAAUUACUGGGCGUAAAGCGCACGCAGGCGGUCUGUUAAGUCAGAUGUGAAAUCCCCGGGCUUAACCUGGGAACUGCAUUUUGAAACUGGCAGGCUUGAGUCUCGUAGAGGGGGUAGAAUUCCAGGUGUAGCGGUGAAAUGCGUAGAGAUCUGGAGGAAUACCGGUGGCGAAGGCGGCCCCUGGGACGAGACUGACGCUCAGGUGCGAAAGCGUGGGGAGCAAACAGGAUUAGGAUACC